UACGGAGGAUACAAGCGUUAUCCGGAAUGAUUGGGCGUAAAGCGUCCGCAGGUGGCUGUGUAAGUCUGCUGUUAAAGAGUCUAGCUCAACUAGAUAAAAGCAGUGGAAACUACACGGCUAGAGUACGUUCGGGGCAGAGGGAAUUCCUGGUGUAGCGGUGAAAUGCGUAGAGAUCAGGAAGAACACCGGUGGCGAAGGCGCUCUGCUAGGCCGUAACUGACACUGAGGGACGAAAGCUAGGGGAGCGAAUGGG
rnacentral:rRNA from 1 species